CUGUAAAGCUUCAAACCGACUUAUACCACAGAGGAAGUUAUUUCUGACUCACUGAACUAGUAGCAUCCCCUUCUCUGUUCUCUACACUAGCAGCAUCCCCUUCUCUGUUCUCUACACUAGCAGCAUCCCCUUCUCUGUUCUCUACACUAGCAGCAUCCCCUUCUCUGUUCUCUACACUAGCAGCAUCCCCUUCUCUGUUCUCUACACUAGCAGCAUGUCCUCACAGCCCCUCUCAUUGAUUCCACCAGAGAGUAGCCCCACUGCUUCCUAGGUGUCUGGGCCAGAAAGCUGCAAGUGUGACUGGAGGCUUUAAUGCAUCCCCACCUUCAGAGUUCACUUCCUUCCUGUUAAGUCCGUAUCCAGCCUCACACAGUAAGGCCAUUAGGGAGAGGAGACCAUAGAGAUCAUAUUAAAUUACCUUUUCUAAAUCUAUGGAGGAGACACUCCUACCCAGUGGUGGAAAUGGACUUCACUCAGGAAUACCCAAGUAGGGAGGUCUGGGGACAGACUGAUGGCCGUAUCGCUGGCCCCAUAGUUUACACCUGGAAUCCAGGGGCCACAAUCUGUUGGAAAACAUUGAAACGUUACAUCUGUUAAUUACAUUUCUAGCUGCAAUUCGGCUUCCUGUCAGAGGCAUGUUCUUUAUAUAUUUCUAUCCGAACCUUCAACAAUGUUGUCCCCUGUUGAACGAGGCCCUGUUCUAAGUGGGUUCCCCCUCAAUUUCACCACUGCUUCUCCUGUCAAGUGAGACUCUUGUGAGGAAACGAGCCUAUGAUAAAGAAGCCAGCUAUAGGACCCUUCAACCAGCCUUUCCAUCUGUGUGCUGUAGGAAUGCUCUCACUGCAAACUGAGGCAGAGAACACUGUCUGAAGUCCUGCCAUUUCUAGCUAAUUGCGGUGUAAGUGCUGGUGUUAUGGUACAAUGGGCUACACUGCAGUAGUCAGGCCCGGCAAGAAGAAUGGAAACUUUCUGCCACGGGUCAUUUGAAGUUCAACGCCAAGCUCACUUGUGUAAUGUAUGAACAUGGUGGAGUGUUAACCUGUGAAAUGGGCAGCGAUUGUGUUUGUCAUUGGGUUAAACUACCUCAAAUGUGUGUUAUUUACUGGGAGAAAACUGUCGGUCAUGACAAUCUUCUUUGGCGGUGAUAACUUACUGUCCGCGUCCUUGAUUGGAACAGAAGCUUUUCUGUUUGAAAUGGAAAGCAGAGUUCCUAAUUGCCAUCUGAUGAAAGAUCCCUCAAAUGCUCUGAAUUUGCUCCAGCCAACACUCCUGUCGAAUGAAUGAGGGAAAUACACUGAACGUCGCAUAUUUGCCAAACCACCAAUGAAUUGUAAGUCUCCAAAACCAAAGCUUACCUUACAUUUACCGGUAGUUCACCCUGUCGUGGUCAAAUUUCAGGUGUCUUUUGUUUGAAAUCCUAAGGCAAUAACUCAUAUACAAAGUAUGGACCGUUGUUCCUGUCAAUUUGUACUGUCAUGGUGUACCUGUUUGACCUCAUUUAGUCCAACCAAACUAGUUGGACCAGAGGUAUGGAAAGGUAGUUGUCAAUCAGUUGUUUUUGAGAUGGAAAUGUUGAUCACAUGGAAAUGAGACAAGCAAGCUAUUCCAUGAAUGUUGCGUUACGAUACUGUUCAUUGUCAUAGGGCAGCUGUGACCCACAUUCCUAUGGUCUUUGAAUGACCCGUGCUUAAAGGGGCAGUUCAUCCAAAUCUCUGAAAUGUGUUAUCCUUUUAGAGCUUUUCAGUAGGUAACAAGACUUCAGUCCACAAGGGAAAUAAAUUAACGUUAUCCUUUCUGUCAAGUCUUGUUUCCUACAGACCUGCUGGAAAAUCUCACUGGAUGCGAUCAAUUGUUAUUGUCUGACUGGUUUCUUUGGUCUCUCUAGAUGCGCUGGUACCCUACUCCAUCUGAAACUAACCAGCCAGGAUGGAAGUCCCGGCAGUUCUGUUAGAUAUAUAAUGUAUUUUGGGAACCAUACCUUCUCCGUCCAGUUGAAGGGAGGUUUAACUGAGCUCGUCAUUAAUUUAAUCAGGUUAUUUAAUGGACAAAUGUGCAUUACAGACCUAUUCAUGUUCUCUGGAGGGGUCUGAACUGACAACCUUGCCAUCGACAGAUUGAGCUGAUUCCUUUCGGCAACUAUUCCGGUACCAUCUUAGCACUUCCAAACCUCACGUGAGCCAAGUAAACGCCACAGGUCAUUAUUUGCUGAAGAGAAUAACAUUCUGAAGAAGUUAUACAUUAUAAAGCAACUCCUUGGGUUAUGGCCUAGAGAGCUGAGUUCAGUCAUUGCAUGUUGAAGUAUUUUUGGCAUGAAUUAGAAAGCAGAGUUCUGUGUCCUUGUUUUUCUUAGUGCUUGUGUUGCUUCUUUAUCUGGACCUAAAGUCUAGACAAUGAAUCCCCUUUGCUUCCUGUGUAUUCCUGGUCUUACCUGUGAAAGAUGGACUGUUGUGUAGAUGGCUCCUCUUGCAUGGACCUUGUAGAAUGCACCCCUAGGUUCUGACAAUCCCAGUCUCUCCCAAAAUAUCAAUGUCUAUAAAGAGUAUAUUUGAACAAAUGCAAAGUACAAGUAUUUUUGUACUUUCGUUUAAUGUAUAUUUAUGCAUUUUGUGCUACUAAAUAAUUAAUGUGUUUGUUUAGGAGUGUUUUGUGUGUUGGUGUUUUGAUCUAUAAUCCUGUAAGUACUUUAAAAAAGUGCAAUUGUAUUUGUUUGAGGGUCUACUGAAAUAUUCAAGAAUUCUAAGUGGCCCAUGUGCCAUUUGGACUGCUAAGAAAUUAAUUGCUGUAAAAUGUUGAUUAUUCAGAAUGUGAAACUGGACUACAAACAUGAAGGGGUUGCUUUUGGAAGCCAUUUUUUUAAUGGUUUAGCAGGAUUAGGUGGAUGGAGAAAUUUAAGUUUGCAGUUUAGAUUAAGUUUGUCUCUGUAUCUGCUGAAUAUGAGAUGUACAACUGUUCCCAUUUUAUGAAUUAAACAAAGUGAAUGCAAUUAUUUUUCUGAUUGAAUUAA